UCCCUGAUACCGCCUACGCCCCGCCCCUCGCCGGCCCCGCCCUCGCUCCGCCUGCGCAGGCGCAAUUUCCCGCAAACCCGGAAGCGGAGGGAGGGGCGCAGCCCUUGGUUUUUAUGUCACGACUGGGUAUUUUAGACGCCCCUCACGCCCCGGAUCCGCCACAUCCAAGGUUCAGGGGUCGUCAAUUACGUUAAGAUCCCCUUCAUCCACUCGUCCGCCCUCGCCGCGCUGUGCAAAGCUCUCACUCCCGGGGUGGAUUCUCUUCUGCCGCUUGGCCAUGUAUACCCGGAGGCCACAUCUUCUCCUCUGCCUCGGGGUCGUGCAGACAUCACCCCUCUCCUGACAGCUUCCAUAUCUACGUAGCCUCAGGAGUCGGCCCCUUCCCUCCGUAG
ensembl:lncRNA